rnacentral:rRNA from 1 species
GAUGAACGCUGGCGGCGUGCCUAAUACAUGCGAGUCGAUCGAACAGACGUGGAUCUUGCUCCUCAGACGUUAGCGGCGGACGGGUGAGUCACACGUGAAUUACCUACCUAUACGACUUGGAUAACUGCGGGAACCCGCAGCUACUACCGAGUAAUUUAUUCUACCUCAUUUUUUAAUAAUGAGAGACGCUUUUGCUGUCACUUAUAUCUUGAUCCGCGCCGCAUUAGCUAGUUGGUCAGGUAACCGCUUACAAAGGCGACGAUGAGUAGCCGACAUGAGCGGGUGAGCGGCCCGACUGGAACGGAGACACGGUCCAGACUCCUACGGGAGGCAGCAGUAGGGAAUCUUCCGCAAUGGGCGAAAGAAUGACGGAGAAACGACGCGUGAGUGAUGAAGGUAUUCGGAGCGUAAAACUCUGUUAUUAGGGAAGAAAAAAUGUGUAAGUAACGAUGCACGUCUUGACGGUACCUAAUCAGAAAGCCACGGCUAACUACGUG